UAUACUCUGCCUUAGCAGAUGAUUUUGAAAUUGUGUUCUGCUUUUUAGUCUUCCAACUAACCAAAGCACCUCCCAAGAAAAUACAGAACCAUGUAAGAGAUUUGCGAGAAAAAGGAUAAGAAGCCCAGUUAGCAUCACAAUAUGCUGAAAGCUAAAGAUCAUACUGACUAGGAGAAUAAAAGCCUUUAGAGGGACAAGUCUUCAAGUAGCAAAGCAAAUGAGUUGCUGCAUCCCAAUGAGGUUUUCUAGGGGUAGCCAUGAACCGGCUCAAGUUCUGAACAGAAUAACUGAUGUCUAGUCUAAUAAUGUUGAUGUAAAGGAGUCUGCCUAUAAGCUUGCGAUAUCUAUUAGGAUCAAAAAGAGGCUUACCAACAUUUGGAGCUAAGUGCAGGCCUUUAGGAAGUGGGAAAAAUGUAGGCUUAGAAUGCUGCAUCCCAGUUUCCUUCAAAACAUCCAUGAAAAUUUUCCUUUGACUCACAAAAGUGCCUAUUUCAAAUCUAGCAACUUCCAAUCCAAGGAAAUAUUUAAGAUAUCCCUAGUUUUUAAUAGUAAACUUGGCAUGUAAAGCUUGUUUAACCUGCUGCAUAGAAUCAACAUGAGUACCAGUAAGAAUGACAUCAUCUACAUACAUCAAUAACACCAAAAACUCAUCACCAAUACUCUGUGUGAAAAGGCGCUGAUCAUGAGCUGAUUGUGAGAACCCAAAAGCCUACAAAAAAGAAGUAAACUCCAAAUUCCACUGCCUUGAUGCCUGCUUCAAACCAUAAAGAGAUUUUUUUAAUAAGCAAACUUGCCCUGGCAAUGCCUUAUCAUAACCUACAGGAGGCUGCAUGUACACCUCUUCAUUAAGAAAGCCAUGAAGAAAUGCAUUGUUAAUAUCCAUUUGAAAAAUAGGCCAUUGUCUUGUUGUUGCUAAAGCAAUGAACACCCUUACAGUAACUAUUUUAGCCACAGGACUGAAUCUAUCAUUAUAAUCCAAACCCUCAAUUUGGUUGUAACCUUUUGCAACUAAAUGAGCCUUGUAUCUAUCUAUCUCUCCAUUAGGGUGAAAUUUCACCUUAAAAACCCAUUUAGAACCAAUGGCUUUCUUACCCUUAGGUAAAUCAGUAAGUAACCAUUUACCAUUCUUUUCAAGAGCAAGUAACUCUUGAUUCAUUGCCUCAACCCAAUUAGGAUUAGUUAAAGCUUGAAGAUAAGUUUGUGGUUCUUGAACAGCAGACACUAUUAUGUAUGUGAAAUGAUGAGGGGAAAAGAUAGGCUUAGAAUUACAUAUAAAAGUAGAGUUGACUGAAGCAUUAGUAGCAAAAUCUUGUAACCAAAGAGGCUUUUGAUGAUUUCUAAUACUUCUUCUAAGGACGGGUACAGGAGAUAGAUUUGACUCUGAAAGAGAAGAAAGGAAGAGGAGAAUUGUGUGAUAAGAAACUAGCUGAAUUGGGGAGCUGCCUGUUAGAAACAAUAUGUGAAGGUAGAGACUCACAAGACUGAGAAGGAAUAUCUAAAGAUGGAGAAUCAACAGGUAGAGGCAAAACAAUAUCAUGAAGA
rnacentral:misc_RNA from 1 species